AUUGAACGCUGGCGGCAGGCCUAACACAUGCAAGUCGAGCGAGCGGCGGACGGGUGAGUAAUGUCUGGGAAACUCCCUGAUGUAGGGGGAUAUCUCUUGGAAACGGUAUCUAAUACCGCAUACCAUCAGAUGUGCCCAGAUGUGAUUUGCUAGUAGGUGGGGUAACGGCUCACCUAGGCGACGAUCCCUAGCUGGUCUGAGAGGAUGACCAGCCACACUGGAACUGAGACACGGUCCAGAAGCCUACGGGAGGCAGCAGUGGGGAAUAUUGCACAAUGGGCGCAAGCCUGAUGCAGCCAUGCCGCGUGUGUGAAGAAGGCCUUCGGGUUGUAAAGCACUUUCAGCGGGGAGGCGUUACCCGCAGAAGAAGCACCGGCUAACUCCGUGCCAGCAGCCGCGGUAAUAC
rnacentral:rRNA from 1 species